rnacentral:lncRNA from 1 species
CAGGACUGGACUCCCGGCAGCCCCAGGGCAGGGGCGUGGGGAGCUGGUCCUAGCUCAGCGCUCCCGGAGGUGGAGCUUCUGCAGGCUGGGUGCUGCCGGGCCUACGGGCACCCACCCCCUGGCUCAGUGCCCUGGGUAUUCUGACUCAGUAGGUCUGGGGUAGGGCCUGAGAAUUUGUAAUUUUAAGAUGCAUCGUGGAUCUGCAGGCGGCUCUCACGGCUGCCUUUUUCUUCCUGCAGGCCCCUUAUCACCAAGUCCAGCGCCCCCAUUGUGUAUCUGGGACAUGUCCCAAGGCCUGUCCCGAGGAGUGUUUUGCCUGGAAGUGGAGGGGCAGGAAAGUAUGGCCAAGGGAACACGUGAGGGAGGGGAUGACAUGACUUCCCACAACCCUGUACCCCAAGCGUGGCCAAGUCGCCGCUCCAGAAGGCCGCGAAACCCGUGGAAAUUCCGGAAGCAGAGGUGGAAGGCUUAGAACCCCAGUGACCUCUCCCCAGGUCCGCAGGUCCCUUUCCCUUCUAAUUGACCCUUUGGUUCCGUCCUCUGGGCCUAAGAGACAUUUCCUUCUACUGCUUCCACCCCUGUAUUUGAAACCCCUCGUGCUUGCCCACCUUCUCUUGUAGCGCUUUUCAGUCCUUGCACUGAACCACUGCCUAAGCUUGAAAUUUAAAAAAUUAAAAACUAAAACACACACACAAUGGAAAAGGCUGUAUUAUCCCUUCCCAGGCAGUAUUUACAACCCGGUCAUCAUGAUUGGGGGACCGAGGCCUUCCUUUUUCUCCCUUCAGUGAGGCAGGCCCUGAGUUAAGUCAGCUGUCAAAAGCAGAACGUAGAAAACCCAAGAAAUAGUCCUUGACCAGGCACGUAUAGUUGGAAACACCUGUUCUUUGCAGGAAGAGCCUUACAGAUUACAAAUGCCGUCAAGUAAAUAGUAAACCCCAAACCUGG